AGUUCCUUCCUUGUGCUCUUCUCUAUCUUUCUCUCAACUGAUUUACUUUCCUCGAUGCAAUGUUCUCGUUCUUAUUAACCAUAAUCUUACUUCAAAUACUACUAAAACCAUCUUCCAUUGCCAAUUUUCUCACAUGUUUAAUAAUUAAUUCCUAAUACUCAAAGCUAUUAUCACUCCCCGAUAGCGGCGCCAAAAUGUGAUUGCUCAUUUUACUUAAUUCAAAUUAAUCUAAUGGGAAUAAACUCGUAUAGGGAGAUUCAAACACGGGGAAUGACUAGUUGCUUAAGCAUUCACGUUAGGGUCUCACAAUCAAUUACCUCUUGAAUGUAUCGUCUCUAUUUCCAAUAUCUGAACACACGAGGAAACUAUAAUCUCCUCCUUCACCUUAUCAGUCUCUUCCUUACAGCAAUUCAGUCAUACCAAUAACUGCUAUUUCUACCAAUAUAUUCGCCCUCAUAAUCUCCAACUGUAAUACUGUGCCCUCACAACUUUCAGCACACAAUUAUCUUCAUUUCAAUCAGUGAAAUUCUUCACACAGAACUGCCAUUCAUAUUACGGUGUUUCACACAAACACAUACUCAUUCUCUCUGUUGAACUACAAUCAAAUUUCAGCAUUCAAUCUUAAUUCUUCUCAAAUAAUACCAAUCACAUUUCCAUUCCAUAAUUCACUUCAUAAUAUUCAAAAACUCUCUAUCCUCUUAUUCAAAGAAAAUAACAAACAAAAGAAAAGAG
rnacentral:lncRNA from 1 species